AGCUUCGCGUCCGAUUAGCUUAGUUGGUGGGGUAAAAGCCUACCCAAGGCAGCGAUCGGUAGCUGUUNUGAGAGGACGAGCAGCCACACUGGGACUGAGACACGGCCCAGACUCCUACGGGAGGCAGCAGUGGGGAAUUUUCCGCAAUGGGCGCAAGCCUGACGGAGCAAUACCGCGUGAGGGAGGAAGGCUUUUGGGUUGUAAACCUCUUUUCUCAGGGAAGAACACAAUGACGGUACUUGAGGAAUCAGCAUCGGCUAACUCCGUGCCAGCAGCCGCGGUAAUACGGAGGAUGCAAGCGUUAUCCGGAAUUAUUGGGCGUAAAGCGUCCGCAGGUGGUGUUUCAAGUCUGCUGUCAAAGACCGAAGCUUAACUUCGGGUAGGCGGUGGAAACUGACUCACUAGAGUACGGUAGGGGUAGAGGGAAUUUCCAGUGUAGCGGUGAAAUGCGUAGAGAUUGGAAAGAACACCAGUGGCGAAGGCGCUCUACUGGACCGUAACUGACACUCAGGGACGAAAGCUAGGGUAGCGAAGGGGAUUAGAUACCCCUGUAGUCCUAGCCGUAAACGAUGGAUACUAGGAU
rnacentral:rRNA from 1 species